AUGUGCACAGGACUCCACGGGAGCUGCCCUCCCCGUGACGUGCGAGAACUUUCCGCCAAUGGCGCGCGGGCAGCCCCAAAGGGGCGAGGCUCGCUCCCCUCCCUCCCCUGCGCUCCCCUCACCCUCCCACUCCCGGUGCGGGCCCGGGCGCGGCUCAGCUGCUCAGCGGCUCCCGGGCGGGCCGGCCCCGCUCCCCUCCAGCUCUCCUCCGGCUCCCCUGGCUGCGCCGAGAGCUGCAGCGCGAGCCGGCCUGCUUCCCAGCCAACCCGAGAGCUUUCGGCUCUUCGGUGGCUGCUACCUGUCUGCCCUGGGCGCCUAUGCGGCUCGGGGUCUCAGGGCAGAGAUCUCCCCCACAUUCGGAACCAGAGCCCAGAACGCCCACUGAGACAGGCACGGACAGGCACACAUGCACCCCGACAGACAUGCUCAGACUUAUACGGAACCACAGCACCAACACUGAGACACACCCGUCCAGCGCACCGACCAGCGCGCGCGCGCGCGUACAGAAACCGACAAACACAAAGUCACCCCUGUCCAACACUGAGACGCCGCCAGAAACCAGCACAGAAGCGCCUAGAAGCUCCCACACAGAAAAGUAAACAACACACAAACGCUCACUUUGGAGGUAUGCGGAGCGCCACAGACACGGACGUCCCCAUCCAGGUCUUAGCUGGUUUUAAGCUGAAGUUGUCACACUGGAGUUUUCCAAUGUAUGUUUUAUGUGAAGAGUUCUGCGGUUGAAUAAGGUUGGGGAACCCUGCCAGCUUCAGCCCCGUCUGGAAAAGACCAGGUGUAAAUGAGCACCCCAAAGAUUCUGAGAAGGCCUCCAGGAAAGAGGCAUGGUUACCUUUUAUGAACAGAGCAUUUCUCAUGCUGACCUGACUUUUUAUUGUGUAACACUUAUUCACACAGCUUGAAACUAGUGUUAACGAGCGACUUUGGGAAAUGCUAACUUACACAACUUACUGACUUCUGUCUGCAUCACUACAUAUGCAUUUCCCGUCACCAGGGAUGCCUCCUUCUUCCUGUGAGCCAAACUGUCUUCUCUUCACGGGGAUCCACGUUCACCUCUUAAUGAAAUCAUCCCAGAUGACCCAUGACAAGCCACCAAUCUCCAGUUAUUUGAGAAAAUCCCUGGUCUGUCAAGGGCAGCUCUAUAUAACAAUCAGUUAGACGGUAGUCUUUUAAAAGUGUAGAUCACAGAUGUCAUUCCUCUGCUCCGAACCCUGCAAUCAUUUCCCAAAACAUGCAGAAGAAGGUAGAGACUCCUAAGAGCCCAAUGAUCUGUCCCUUCUGCUUCUUCAGCCUAAUUUCCCUCCCCUUCUUACGUCUUUCCGGUCACACUGGCCUUUCCCCAAAGACGCCGAGCUUAUUCCUGCUUCGGGGCCUCUGCACCAGCUCUCACCUUCCCCUGGGAUGCUCUGAGCUCAGAGCCCCACACGGCACACUCCCUCUCCUCGCUCAGGUCUCUCUCACAUACCACCUCCCAGUGAGGUCAUCCUGGACCGCCAGACCUCAAGCCCCGACUUCCUCUAUUGGCUAUUUUCUGACCCCAUACUCUGCUGCUUUUUUGCCAUAGUCUCAUCACUGCUACAUUGUUUUCCAUACUCAUUAAUUAAUAUUUCUUAUCUUCCUCCUCCACCAGAAUGUAAGACCCAAGAGGGAAGGGGAUUUGCUUGCCUUCUUCACCAGUCUAUCCCCGGAGCCUGGAAGAAUGGCUGGAACGUAGUAGGAAUUCAAGAAAUACUUGUUGAAUAAGCGAAUAAAUAAAAAUGUUUAGUCA
rnacentral:lncRNA from 1 species